rnacentral:rRNA from 1 species
CCAGUCGUACCUAUGGGUAAUCAGCCUUUUGGGUGCGAUUUUGUGGAGCGUGAGGAGUUAAACGCCUUCAUGCCUGCAUAUUCGUGCACUUUGGGUGUACUUGCCCGUAUGGUUGGUUAACAUCAAUUUUGGUGGUCAUAAAAUGACUGGAGGAAUGUAGCUUCGAUCUUGUAUUGAAGUGUUAUAGCCUUCGGUAGAUGUGAUGAUCGAGAUUGAGGAUUGCAACGGAUACCCUUCGGGGCUACCUGUCUGAUCUCUGAUCGUUGCUCUGGUGCCGAAAGCUUGCUUACGGUUAUCAAAGUCGAUGGCCAAUAGGUUAGAACGGGUUAAA